rnacentral:rRNA from 1 species
CCUACGGGAGGCAGCAGUGGGGAAUAUUGGACAAUGGGCGAAAGCCUGAUCCAGCAAUGCCGCGUGAGUGAUGAAGGCCUUCGGGUCGUAAAGCUCUUUUACCAGGGAUGAUAAUGACAGUACCUGGAGAAUAAGCUCCGGCUAACUCCGUGCCAGCAGCCGCGGUAAUACGGAGGGAGCUAGCGUUGUUCGGAAUUACUGGGCGUAAAGAGUACGUAGGCGGUUAUUCAAGUCAGAGGUGAAAGCCCGGGGCUCAACCCCGGAACUGCCUUUGAAACUAGAUAACUAGAGUCUUGGAGAGGUUAGUGGAAUUCCGAGUGUAGAGGUGAAAUUCGUAGAUAUUCGGAAGAACACCAGUGGCGAAGGCGACUAACUGGACAAGUACUGACGCUGAGGUACGAAAGCGUGGGGAGCAAACAGGAUUAGAUACCCUGGUAGUCCACGCCGUAAACGAUGAUAACUAGUUGUUCGGUCACUUGGUGACUGAGUGACGCAGCUAACGCAUUAAGUUAUCCGCCUGGGGAGUACGGUCGCAGAUUAAAACUCAAAGGAAUUGACGG